UUAACCAAGUCUCAAUCAAGUGACGCAAUCACGGAAGACUGGUGGCUUCGGGCUAGGGCGGCAAUUCCGAAGGCGGUCAGGAGGUAUUUUGAUACGGUAAUGAUCCUGCUGCACUGGAGGGUGUGGAAAGAGCGAAACGCCAGGAUCUUUGAUCAUGCUUCCAACCCACCUGACUGGGUUCUGGACCGGAUCAAGGAAGACAUGGCCAUGUGGAGAGCCGCGGGAUGCAUUGCUGAUCUCCCGGCUUAG
rnacentral:rRNA from 1 species